rnacentral:rRNA from 1 species
UACGGGGGGGGUAAGCGUUGUUCGGAAUUACUGGGCGUAAAGGGCUCGUAGGCGGCCAACUAAGUCGGACGUGAAAUCCCUCAGCUUAACUGGGGAACUGCGUCCGAUACUGGAUGGCUUGGAUUCGGGAGAGGGAUGUGGAAUUCCAGGUGUAGCGGUGAAAUGCGUAGAUAUCUGGAGGAACACCGGUGGCGAAGGCGGCAUCCUGGACCGAGAUCGACGCUGAGGCGCGAAAGCUAGGGGAGCAAACGGG